UGGACAAAUUAUUGUAUUCGACUGUAUUCAUGGCGUGAAACAGAGGAUUACACUGUUUUUAAACGGAAAUGUAUCAAUUAACAUAAUAGACUCCU
rfam:Nicotiana attenuata strain TT chromosome 6, whole genome shotgun sequence.